UACGUAGGUGGCAAGCAUUAUCCGGAAUUACUGGGCGUAAAGAGGUGCGUAGGCGGAAUGCCGCGUCGCUUAUUAAAAGGUGAGGCUCAACCUUACCCUUGUAUGCGAUACGGGUGUUCUAGAGGAAUGUAGGGGCAAGCGGAACUCUCGGUGGAGCAGUGAAAUGCGUUGAUAUCGAGAGGAACACCGAAGGCGAAGGCAGCUUGCUGGGCAUUUCCUGACGCUUAGGCCCGAAAGCGUAGGGA
rnacentral:rRNA from 1 species